AAAAAGACAAACCCCGGAUUUCCGUGUCCAACAUUUAACUGUCCGUUUUAUAUGAAAUUUUUUAUAAUUAGUAUUUUCAUUGUUGUUAGAUGAUAAAACAUGAUUAAUACUUUAUGCGUGACUUGUCUUUUUAAUUUUUUUCAUAAUUUUUUCAAAUAAGACGGACGGUCAAACGUUGGACACGGAAACCCAGGGUUUGUCUUUUU
rfam:Oryza glumipatula chromosome 8, whole genome shotgun sequence.